rnacentral:rRNA from 1 species
CAGCAGCCACGGGAAUACGUAGGGUGCAAGCGUUAAUCGGAAUUACUGGGCGUAAAGCGUGCGCAGGCGGUUCUAUAAGACAGAUGUGAAAUCCCCGGGCUCAACCUGGGAACUGCAUUUGUGACUGUAGAGCUGGAGUGCGGCAGAGGGGGAUGGAAUUCCGCGUGUAGCAGUGAAAUGCGUAGAUAUGCGGAGGAACACCGAUGGCGAAGGCAAUCCCCUGGGCCUGCACUGACGCUCAUGCACGAAAGCGUGGGGAGCAAACAGGAUUAGAUACCCGAGUAGUCCCUGUCUCUUAUAC